GGGAAGAACGGCGGCAGCCCUUUCCCCGUUCCUCCCGUGCUCCGGGACCCCGAGCAGAGCUGCUCGUUUGUCCCCGUGUCCCUGUGUCUGUCCUCAGGCGGCCCCAGGAGCUGGCACUGACCGUGCCGCGGCUCGGGCACAGGCUGCUCCCAGCUCUGCCUGCGGAACUUCGGCAAUUACCGACAGCAGUUCUUUGCCCUGCCAUCCAGAAGGUGCGGCUCAUCUGACACCAGCCAGACGGGGAAGGCCUUGCCUGGGAGGGAAACGGCUACAGGGGAGGAAACCAAGAAAUGCUCCAACCGGAUGGUGCUGCGCGAGUCAAAAGAGGGGCAAGACCGCGGGCAAAUACAGUCAGGAAAUGAGCUUUUAUUCAAUCUCUGCAGGAGCCCUUCGCAGCCACGGGCCGGAGGGAGCGCGGCCGGCUGGGCUGUGCCCGGCUGGGGACGGGCACCAAUUCAUCACUGCCCUGCUCAGGGAGGUUUUCCGGCCCCGUCCGGGCUUCACCCGACGGCUGCAAAGGUGCUCGUGCGGCAUCCGAGCUCAUUUCCAGGGAUAAAGGAGCCAAACGAGUCCGGAGGGAUCCCUCGCUCCGAGGCAAAGGCGUUUGGUCGAGUGUCGCCGCCUGGUCCCGCCUGCGGGGGAGCGUCUCCUCCAGACCUGGAACCGUGGCUGCUUCCUGGCAAACCUGGCGUUAAAGUGGCAGCUCUGCGGGGGAAGAUCCGGGCUCCAGGAGGCACUGGGAGGCUAUUGCAGCAGGAAUUCCCCAUGGAAUUGCGGGCUGUAGGUAGAAUUCAUCCAAACCUGCAAUGCUGAGACCGGAACCCAAACCUGGGCCCCCCGCAGAGAACAAUCUUUUUGCUGCCCUGUCGGCCAAAGCCGCUGCGCUGAGAGAUCUUGGCAGCCUGAGGGAGGGCAUUCUCUGCAUCCCAGCAACCUCCAUCUCCCUAGGGGACAAUCAAAGUCCCAACCAAUUCCUUUUGCCUUUCCACAGGGACACUGACCCUUAUUUGGUCCUGCUCUUCCACGGUCCAUUUUGGGGGAUGAGUUUGUGCUGGUUUACGUUCCACGACUCCACCCACAGCUGGAGGUGAAUUGUGCACAAGCCAGUCCCCCAUUCCCUAUCCAGGCUGGGAGUGCUCUUGCCCUUGGUACAGUUGGCUCUGGCUGGGCAGGAACUGAGAGCAGGACACGGGGCAGAGUGGAUCAGCUGCCCAGGGAACCUCUAGGAGAUGAAGCUACGGGAUCCUCAUUCCAAUCAAGGGAACACAUUCUGUCUCUGGCAGAAGCCGGGAGCCAAAGCAGAUCCCGCCUGGCCAGGCUGGGGGGCAGCAGUUGGAUCCACUCUGGGGGAAACCCCCUGUGCCUGCCAGGAGCUCUGACUCUGUUUGUCCUGCCAGCUCCUGACCAGUGUCAGGGCCCCUGGGAGGGAUUCAGAAUCCAAAGAAACCCCAAAUCCUACCGCAGGAUUCAAUCAAAGGAAGAAAGCCAUUAUUGUCAUAAAAAGCUUAAAAAGCUGUUAAAAAUUCUAGGACAGCAAUACUGGGAUUCCCAGGAAACUUA